AUUGAACGCUGGCGGCAUGCUUUACACAUGCAAGUCGAACGGCAGCACGGGCUUCGGCCUGGUGGCGAGUGGCGAACGGGUGAGUAAUGCAUCGGAACGUGCCCAUUUGUGGGGGAUAACUACGCGAAAGCGUGGCUAAUACCGCAUACGCCCUGAGGGGGAAAGCGGGGGAUUCUUCGGAACCUCGCGCAAUUGGAGCGGCCGAUGUCAGAUUAGCUUGUUGGUGAGGUAAAGGCUCACCAAGGCGACGAUCUGUAGCGGGUCUGAGAGGAUGAUCCGCCACACUGGGACUGAGACACGGCCCAGACUCCUACGGGAGGCAGCAGUGGGGAAUUUUGGACAAUGGGGGCAACCCGUGAUCCAGCCAUGCCGCGUGAGUGAAGAAGGCCU
rnacentral:rRNA from 1 species